AGCGAACGCUGGCGGCGUGCUUAACACAUGCAAGUCGAACGGAAAGGCACUGCUAUUUUGCUCUUCUCGAUUGCCGAUCGCGUGAGUAAGAGGAGUGUAACCGGCUCUACAUUUUGGUGUAGGUUCAGGAAGCGGAAGUUACGAUCGUAUAGCAUCCCCCCUAGCAUUGUAAGCAUGGGAAAUUCUAGGCUGGCGCGGUUGGACGAGCGGCUGACGAGCUAGUUGGUUGGCUAGGGGCUUGCCAAGGCAUUGACGGGUAGCCGGCAUGAGAGGGUGAACGGCGACAUUGGGACUGCGAUACGGCCCAGACUCCUACGGGAGGCAGCAGUGGGGAAUAUUGCACAAUGGGAGGAAGCCUGAUGCAGCAACGCCGCGUGCGGGAUGACGGUCUUCGGGUUGUAAAACGCUUUCGGUUGUGACGAAGCGUGAGUGACGGUAAUGGGUAAAGAAGCACCGGCUAACUACGUG
rnacentral:rRNA from 1 species